rnacentral:tRNA from 1 species
GGAGACUUGGCAGAGUGGUCGAAUGCACCGGUCUUGAAAACCGGCGACCGUUCACGCGGUCCGAGGGUUCGAAUCCCUCAGUCUCCG